rnacentral:RNase_P_RNA from 1 species
AAGUUGCAUCGGAUAGUCGCGCUCAGUUCCAUGCACUGAGAUUGAGUGAGGAAAGUCCGGACACUCCCAUUUUUUUAAAUGGAGUACGGUAGUAGGUAACGCCUACCUGGAGUAAUCCACGGGGUGCGAACAGAGACGCCCGAGCCGAGAGGCAGAGGCAUCCGGCUCCGCGCAGUGGAGCCGGAUGAGUCUUGGUGGUAACACUGAGAUUGAAACGGCUAAAUCCCUACCUGAGUGCAAGGUCGUGCCCAGCGCAAGCUGGGAGUGCCGCAUGAAGUGGUUGGCGACAAUCACCCAAGAUAAAUGACUAUCGUCUGCUCUGCAGAUACAGAAUCCGGCUUAUAAGUGCAACGAGUGA